rnacentral:rRNA from 1 species
UUCUUCGGAAGUCAGUGGCAGACGGGUGAGUAACACGUGGGAACGUGCCCUUCGGUUCGGAAUAACUCAGGGAAACUUGAGCUAAUACCGGAUACGCCCUUAUGGGGAAAGGUUUACUGCCGAAGGAUCGGCCCGCGUCUGAUUAGCUUGUUGGUGGGGUAACGGCCUACCAAGGCGACGAUCAGUAGCUGGUCUGAGAGGAUGAUCAGCCACACUGGGACUGAGACACGGCCCAGACUCCUACGGGAGGCAGCAGUGGGGAAUAUUGGACAAUGGGCGCAAGCCUGAUCCAGCCAUGCCGCGUGAGUGAUGAAGGCCUUAGGGUUGUAAAGCUCUUUUGUCCGGGACGAUAAUGACGGUACCGGAAGAAUAAGCCCCGGCUAACUUCGUGCCAGCAGCCGCGGUAAUACGAAGGGGGCUAGCGUUGCUCGGAAUCACUGGGCGUAAAGGGCGCGUAGGCGGCCGAUUAAGUCGGGGGUGAAAGCCUGUGGCUCAACCACAGAAUUGCCUUCGAUACUGGUUGGCUUGAGACCGGAAGAGGACAGCGGAACUGCGAGUGUAGAGGUGAAAUUCGUAGAUAUUCGCAAGAACACCAGUGGCGAAGGCGGCUGUCUGGUCCGGUUCUGACGCUGAGGCGCGAAAGCGUGGGGAGCAAACAG